UACGGGGGGGGGCAAGCGUUGUUCGGAAUUACUGGGCGUAAAGGCUCGUAGGCGGCCAACUAAGUCGGAUGUGAAAUCCCCAGGCUUAACCUGGGAACUGCAUCCGAUACUGGAUGGCUUGAAUCCGGGAGAGGGAUGCAGAAUUCCAGGUGUAGCGGUGAAAUGCGUAGAUAUCUGGAGGAAUACCGGUGGCGAAGGCGGCAUCCUGGACCGGCAUUGACGCUGAGGAGCGAAAGCUAGGGGAGCAAACGGGG
rnacentral:rRNA from 1 species